AUUGAACGCUGGCGGCAUGCUUUACACAUGCAAGUCGAGCGGCAGCGCGGGGGCAACCCUGGCGGCGAGCGGCGAACGGGUGAGUAACGCAUCGGAACGUAUCCUGGAGUGGGGGAUAACCCAGCGAAAGUUGGGCUAAUACCGCAUGAGCUCUGAGGAGGAAAGCGGGGGACUCGCAAGAGCCUCGCGCUGCAGGAGCGGCCGAUGUCCGAUUAGCUAGUUGGUGGGGUAAAGGCCUACCAAGGCGACGAUCGGUAGCUGGUCUGAGAGGAUGAUCAGCCACACUGGGACUGAGACACGGCCCAGACUCCUACGGGUGGCUG
rnacentral:rRNA from 1 species